rnacentral:rRNA from 1 species
UACGAAGGGGGCUAGCGUUGCUCGGAAUUACUGGGCGUAAAGGGCGCGUAGGCGGCUUGGCCAGUCAGGCGUGAAAUUCCUGGGCUUAACCUGGGGACUGCGCUUGAUACUGCCAGGCUUGAGGCCGAGAGAGGGUGGUGGAAUUCCCAGUGUAGAGGUGAAAUUCGUAGAUAUUGGGAAGAACACCGGUGGCGAAGGCGACCACCUGGCUCGGUACUGACGCUGAGGCGCGACAGCGUGGGGAGCAAACAGGAUUAGAUACCCCCGUAGUCC